AGGUUUGGUCCCAGCCUUCCUGUUAACUCUCAACAGACUUACACAUGCAAGCAUCCACGCCCCGGUGAGUAACGCCCUCCAAAUCAAUAAGACUAAGAGGAGCAGGUAUCAAGCACACAUCUUGUAGCUUACAACGCCUCGCUUAACCACACCCCUACGGGAGACAGCAGUGACAAAAAUUAAGCCAUAAACGAAAGUUUGACUAAGCCAUGUUGACCAGGGUUGGUAAAUCUCGUGCCAGCCACCGCGGUCAUACGAUUAACCCAAGCUAACAGGAAUACGGCGUAAAACGUGUUAAAGCACUACAUCAAAUAGAGUUAAAUUCUAAUUAAACUGUAAAAAGCCAUAAUUACAACAAAAAUAGAUGACGAAAGUAACCCUACUGCAGCUGAUACACUAUAGCUAAGACCCAAACUGGGAUUAGAUACCCCACUAUGCUUAGCCCUAAACACAAAUAAUUACAGAAACAAAAUUAUUCGCCAGAGUACUACCGGCAACAGCCCGAAACUCAAAGGACUUGGCGGUGCUUUAUACCCUUCUAGAGGAGCCUGUUCUAUAAUCGAUAA
rnacentral:rRNA from 1 species